UACGUAGGAGGCAAGCGUUGUCCGGAUUUACUGGGCGUAAAGAGCUCGUAGGCGGUCUGUCGCGUCUGCUGUGAAAACUCAGGGCUUAACCCUGAGCUUGCAGUGGGUACGGGCAGACUAGAGUGCGGUAGGGGAGACUGGAAUUCCUGGUGUAGCGGUGAAAUGCGCAGAUAUCAGGAGGAACACCGGUGGCGAAGGCGGGUCUCUGGGACGGUACUGACGCUGAGACGCGAAAGCGUGGGGAGCGAACAGG
rnacentral:rRNA from 1 species